rnacentral:rRNA from 1 species
UCAGAAGCAGCCACUCAUUUAAAGAGUGCGUAAUAGCUCACUGGUCGAGCGUCUUUGCGCGGAGAAUUUAACGGGGCUAAACCUGACACCGAAGCUUAGGCAAUACAGCAAUGUAUUGGGUAGGGGAGCGUUGUAUACGCGGUGAAACAGUAGCGCAAGCGGCUGUGGAGUGUAUAGAAGUGAGAAUGCCGGAAUGAGUAGCGCGAAUGCAGUGAGAAUCUGCAUGGCCGAAAGCCUCAGGUUUCUGGAGGAAGGUUCGUCCGCUCCAGGUUAGUCGGGAGCUAAGGUGAGGCCUAACGGCGUAGCCGAUGCACAGACGGUAGAGAUUCCGUCACCACCAAAAGAGUUAAACACAGGGACACAUUUGAAGUCUCGGAGCCGGGUGUUGGUUCCGGUAGCGAUCGAGGGAAAUUAGUACCGAAGUCCGGGAUGGAAGAUGGCGAGAAAAGCUGUGUGUAUUUCUGCGGUGCCCGUACCGCAAACCGACACAGGUAGGUAGGAAGAAGAUUCUAAGGCCAACGGGAGAAGGGUUGUUAAGGAACUCGGCAAAUUGACCCCGUAACUUCGGGAGAAGGGGUGCUCCAGAGAUGGAGCCGCAGAGAAUCGGCCCAAGCAACUGUUUACCAAAAACACAGGUUUGUGCUAAAUCGAAAGAUGACGUAUACGAGCUGACGCCUGCCCGGUGCUGGAAGGUUAAGAGGAGAUGUGCAAGCAUUGAAUCGAAGCCCCAGUGAACGGCGGCCGUAACUAUAACGGUCCUAAGGUAGCGAAAUUCCUUGUCAGGUAAGUUCUGACCCGCAUGAAAGGCGUAAUGAUUUGGGCACUGUCUCGACAGCCCGCCCGGCGAAAUUGUAGUACCGGUGAAGAUGCCGGUUACCCGCGACAAGACGGAAAGACCCCAUGGAGCUUUACUGUAGCCUAAUAUUGGGUUUCGAUGUUGCAUGCACAGGAUAGAUGGGACACUGGGAAGCAAGUGCUUUGGCAUUUGUGGAGUGGCCGUUGGGAUACCAUCCUUGCGAUAUUGGAAUUCUAACCUGCGCCUUUGAAUCAAGGCGGGGGACAUUGUUAGGUGGGCAGUUUGACUGGGGCGGUCGCCUCCUAAAGAGUAACGGAGGCGUUCAAAGGUUCGCUCAGCUUGAACGGAAAUCAAGCAAAAGAGUGCAAACGCAGAAGCGAGCCUAACUGCGAGACUGACGGGUCGAGCAGUAACGAAAGUUGGAGUUAGUGAUCCGGUGGUAUGUGAGUGGAAAUGCCAUCGCUCAACGGAUAAAAGUUACCCUGGGGAUAACAGGCUGAUCUCCCCCAAGAGUCCACAUCGACGGGGAGGUU